rnacentral:rRNA from 1 species
GUGAACGCUGGCGGUAGGCCUAACACAUGCACGUCGAACGGCAGCACAGUAAGAGCUUGCUCUUACGGGUGGCGAGUGGCGGACGAGUGAGGAAUACAUCGGAAUCUACUUUUUCGUGGGGGAUAACGUAGGGGAACUUACGCUAAUACCGCAUACGACCUACGGGUGAAAGCAGGGGAUCUUCGGACCUUGCGCGAUUGAAUGAGCCGAUGUCGGAUUAGCUAGUUGGCGGGGUAAAGGCCCACCAAGGCGACGAUCCGUAGCUGGUCUGAGAGGAUGAUCAGCCACACUGGAGCUGAGACACGGUCCAGACUCCUACGGGAGGCAGCAGUGGGGAAUAUUGGACAAUGGGCGCAAGCCUGAUCCAGCCAUACCGCGUGGGUGAAGAAGGCCUUCGGGUUGUAAAGCCCUUUUGUUGGGAAAGAAAAGCAGCAGGUUAAUACCCCGCUGUUCUGACGGUACCCAAAGAAUAAGCACCGGCUAACUUCGU